AUCCAUUUGACGAGUCCCAAAUAGGACGAAAUGCACAUCCUGGAU
rnacentral:hammerhead_ribozyme from 1 species